GAUGAAGAACGUAGCGAAAUGCGAUACGUAAUGUGAAUUGCAGAAUUCAGUGAAUCAUCGAGUCUUUGAACGCACAUUGCGCCCCCUGGUAUUCCGGGGGGCAUGCCUGUCCGUGCGUCAUUGCUGCCCUCAAGCACGGCUUGUGUGUUGGGCCUCCGUCCUCCUCCCGGGGGACGGGCCCGAAAGGCAGCGGCGGCACCGCGUCCGGUCCUCGAGCGUAUGGGGCUUCGUCACCCGCUCUUGUAGGCCCGGCCGGCGCUUGCCGACACAUCAAUCUUUUUUCCAGGUUGACCUCGGAUCAGGUAGGGAUACCCGCUGAACUUAAGCAUAUCAAUAAGCGAGGA
rnacentral:misc_RNA from 1 species